GUGCGGGUGCUAAUACAUGCAAGUCGAGCGGACAGAUGGGAGCUUGCUCCCUGAUGUUAGCGGCGGACGGGUGAGUAACACGUGGGUAACCUGCCUGUAAGACUGGGAUAACUCCGGGAAACCGGGGCUAAUACCGGAUGGUUGUUUGAACCGCAUGGUUCAAACAUAAAAGGUGGCUUCGGCUACCACUUACAGAUGGACCCGCGGCGCAUUAGCUAGUUGGUGAGGUAACGGCUCACCAAGGCAACGAUGCGUAGCCGACCUGAGAGGGUGAUCGGCCACACUGGGACUGAGACACGGCCCAGACUCCUACGGGAGGCAGCAGUAGGGAAUCUUCCGCAAUGGACGAAAGUCUGACGGAGCAACGCCGCGUGAGUGAUGAAGGUUUUCGGAUCGUAAAGCUCUGUUGUUAGGGAAGAACAAGUACCGUUCGAAUAGGGCGGUACCUUGACGGUACCUAACCAGAAAGCCACGGCUAACUACGUGCCAGCAGCCGCGGUAAUACGUAGGUGGCAAGCGUUGUCCGGAAUUAUUGGGCGUAAAGGGCUCGCAGGCGGUUUCUUAAGUCUGAUGUGAAAGCCCCCGGCUCAACCGGGGAGGGUCAUUGGAAACUGGGGAACUUGAGUGCAGAAGAGGAGAGUGGAAUUCCACGUGUAGCGGUGAAAUGCGUAGAGAUGUGGAGGAACACCAGUGGCGAAGGCGACUCUCUGGUCUGUAACUGACGCUGAGGAGCGAAAGCGUGGGGAGCGAACAGGAUUAGAACCUGG
rnacentral:rRNA from 1 species